AUAAUAAAUAUUAUCAUAGGUAAACUUACUAUAGUAAAUAUUAUUAUAGGUAAACUUACUAUAGUAAAUAUUAUCAUAGGUAAACUUACUACAGUAAAUAUUAUCAUAUAUUAUCAUAGAUAAAUUUACUAUAGUAAAUUUGCAAUAGCGUAAAUUUACUUAUUUAUUUGUCACAGGCAAAUCUUAACUUUCUCGUUACGGUUUCAUUAACGCUAAACCUGCCGGACAGUAAAGUAACACGCGUUUUACAAGAAUUACAAGACUGAAUUCAUUUCGUCAUUUUGAUAGUUUUGUUACAAUGUGCGCGCUUGUAUUGAGAAACUUGUUCAAUCAUCGCCAAUGAAAGACUCUUUGUAAUUUCAACGAUUCUUGAAUAAAAAUUUGUGGAAUGGUA